rnacentral:rRNA from 1 species
UACGAAGGGGGCUAGCGUUGUUCGGAAUCACUGGGCGUAAAGGGCGCGUAGGCGGCCGCUCAAGUCGGGGGUGAAAGCCUGUGGCUUAACCACAGAAUUGCCUUCGAUACUGUUUGGCUUGAGACCGGAAGAGGUGAGUGGAACUGCGAGUGUAGAGGUGAAAUUCGUAGAUAUUCGCAAGAACACCAGUGGCGAAGGCGGCCAACUGGUCCGAUACUGACGCUGAGGCGCGAAAGCGUGGGGAGCAAACAGG